AUUUUGUAGUGCGUUUGUCUUUUUACACAGCUGCUGCCUUUCUGCUCUGAUAAUCCCAAGAAGCAGAGUCAAUCAGGUACUGGAUCUCCCUAUUUAAAGUGGGCUCUCUGUCUGCUUUGGACCUUUCGUGGUGUCUGAGCACUUUAAUGUUUGUCCUGUACUGAGUUCCUGUUAUUGACCCGGUUUAUCCUUUGACUAUUAUUAAUCUCCUGUAUUUGUGCAUCAGGAUUUUACAUAUGGAUUGUGUGACAGAACCAUCUGUCUGCUUGUAUUUGGGAUGUAUUCGUCUGUUUGUCUCCCGGUCGUAUGAAUGGCUGGUUUCUAAAGCCCAGCCAUUCAAAUGACUCUUUUUCCCGAACAAACCUGCCGAACGGACGGCCACCCAGGAGAGAAGUGUG